UUGUGGAGGAGGACGCCGAAGGUGGGGCUAAUGACUGGGGUGAAGUCGUAACAAGGUAGCCGUACCGGAAGGUGCGGCUGGAUCACCUCCUAACAGGGAGACAACAAAAUGUUUAAUAUUAUUAUUUUGUCACCUUAGGUCGAUCGGUAUCUCACGUUUUUAAUUUAUUAAGAAUUUCAUUUCCUAAGUUUUUCUAGGUCACACCCAUUAUUUUUCCUGGGCCAUUAGCUCAGGUGGUUAGAGCGCACCCCUGAUAAGGGUGAGGUCCCUGGUUCAAGUCCAGGAUGGCCCAUAUCUCUAUGUUGGGGGUAUAGCUCAGUUGGUAGAGCGCCUGCUUUGCAAGCAGGAUGUCAGCGGUUCGAGUCCGCUUACCUCCACUGAUUACCACCUCUUCCAUAAUCUGUAGAAAGGAAAUGUAUUGAGUUGUGAUCAAAUCCUGAACGAAUCUAGCUUCCUAAUGAAAUCAUUAAGAUGCUGGACUCAUUGAAUUAAUUUCAUUGUUUUCAGAGAAUCUUGACAACUGCAUAGAUUAUUUUUUAAAGACAAUAAGCAUCUUUAAUGAUGCAGAUUUAUUAUUUGUGCGAAUGCAUUAAUAACAAUUCUAUUAAGCUGAUGCUUCAAUUUUGAAGUUAUUGGUCAAGCUACAA
rnacentral:misc_RNA from 1 species